rnacentral:tRNA from 1 species
UGGCUAGAGCAGCUGAUUUGUAAUCAGCAGGUCGUGGGUUCGAGUCCCUCUGGAGGCU